rnacentral:misc_RNA from 1 species
CGAGAUAAAGGGUGUGAAACACGGGCCAUUUGUCAACGUGUGUAAGCGCAAAAAAAGCAAAACCAGACAGCACUUGGACAAGUACACUACAGUACACACAAUCGGUUUGCAAAAAGAAACGAGUAUAAACGGCAGUCAAGGGAUACAUGAAAAAACCCACACCUUGCACACACGCAGUACAAAAGUAAAAGAAAUGUGCAUGGAAGGAGUUUGCACACUCUCGGUGUAUCGGUGAUGCGUCCCACACGUACCCGAGCAACCCGGUCAGCAACCGCAACCACUUCUGGAGCUACUUGUACUGGUGCCGAGAAGGUGCUCCUGCAGAGGUUUGGGUGUGCAAUUCUGUCUCCACAAGUACUGUACAGUACUUGGUUGUACUUGGUUGAGGAGAUUGUCCCACGGUUGACACACGCUUCUCAAUUGAUCUCAAUGGAGACUGUAGGCACAGCCUCGGCAACCGAGACUGUCGUGUGGGUAGAUUGUAUUAUGUCUCUGAAUCUGUGGGUCUCACAGGAUGCAGAGCGGCAGAAGGUCUGGAAACAUGGACAAUGUACGGUAGGAGUUUGUCGACGUUUGUGGUCCAUCCGCCAACAACUUGGAAGUGUGCCCCGAAUGUUUUUCGCCAAAACGUCUCUUUCAGGUAACAUGUGGACCCAGCCUAAACAGACAGCUGUCGACCUGUGGGCCUGAGAGAGCAGAUCCAGUGACGUGCUCGUACUGCGGCGGCUACUGUACGAUGUACAAGCACACAUUGCCAGACACCAGAACGUCCUAAAUGGAAGCCGAGACUGCCUCUUUCAGGAAAUUUAGGAAAUUAUGGCGAGUUGACAGUGGCUUCCGCAGCACAUACAUUCCCUGGUGACAUCGGCAUGAGCCAUCGUAGGACAGUUGGUAGUCAGAAAUAAUAAUCCAUGCUUCACAGAGUACACAAAAGAACAUCCCCUCCUUUGAACAAGACG